rnacentral:rRNA from 1 species
UAGAGUUUGAUCCUGGCUCAGAACGAACGCUGGCGGCAGGCUUAACACAUGCAAGUCGAACGCCCCGCAAGGGGAGUGGCAGACGGGUGAGUAACGCGUGGGAAUCUACCGUACCCUACGGAAUAACGCAUGAAACGUGUGCUAAUACCGUAUACGCCCUACGGGGGAAAGAUUUAUCGGGGUAUGAUGAGCCCGCGUUGGAUUAGCUAGUUGGUGGGGUAAAGGCCUACCAAGGCGACGAUCCAUAGCUGGUCUGAGAGGAUGAUCAGCCACAUUGGGACUGAGACACGGCCCAAACUCCUACGGGAGGCAGCAGUGGGGAAUAUUGGACAAUGGGCGCAAGCCUGAUCCAGCCAUGCCGCGUGAGUGAUGAAGGUCUUAGGAUUGUAAAGCUCUUUCACCGAUGAAGAUAAUGACGGUAGUCGGAAAAGAAGCCCCGGCUAACUUCGUGCCAGCAGCCGCGGUAAUA